rnacentral:rRNA from 1 species
UACGAAGGGGGCUAGCGUUGCUCGGAAUCACUGGGCGUAAAGGGUGCGUAGGCGGGUUUUUAAGUCAGAGGUGAAAUCCUGGAGCUCAACUCCAGAACUGCCUUUGAUACUGAGGAUCUUGAGUACGGGAGAGGUGAGUGGAACUGCGAGUGUAGAGGUGAAAUUCGUAGAUAUUCGCAAGAACACCAGUGGCGAAGGCGGCUCACUGGCCCGUUACUGACGCUGAGGUGCGAAAGCGUGGGGAGCAAACAGG